rnacentral:rRNA from 1 species
CCUACGGGAGACAGCAGUCGAGAAUCAUUCACAAUGGGGGAAACCCUGAUGGUGCGACGCCGCGUGGGGGAAUGAAGGUCUUCGGAUUGUAAACCCCUGUCAUGUGGGAGCAAAUUAAAAAGAUAGUACCACAAGAGGAAGAGACGGCUAACUCUGUGCCAGCAGCCGCGGUAAUACAGAGGUCUCAAGCGUUGUUCGGAAUCACUGGGCGUAAGGCGUGCGUAGGCUGUUUCGUAAGUAGGGUGUGAAAGGCGCGGGCUCAACCCGCGGACGGCACAUGAUACUGCGAUACUAGAGUAAUGUAGGGGGAACCGGAAUUCUCGGUGUAGCAGUGAAAUGCGUAGAUAUCGAGAGGAACACUCGUGGCGAAGGCGAGUUCCUGGACAUUAACUGACGCUGAGGCACGAAGGCCAGGGGAGCGAAAGGGAUUAGAUACCCGAGUAGUC